CGAUUUUGCCCCUGCCUUUUGUCUCUUGCCUCGACACCUGCCGUACUGCUCUAUGGAGUUUUGACAGACAGAGAGAGCGAAGAGAGCAGAGGAAGAAGGGAAAGAAGACAGAAAAGGGAAGGGGUUUAGGGUUGUGAUAUUGGGUUUGUCAUCAGCAAGGAGGAGGGAGGCGAUUCUGGGUUAUUGGGUUUUUGAUGUGAGGAGGAAGAGCAUCGUUCUUCAUUAAUGUGUUUUGGGCUGAGGCAGGAGAAGAGAAAUCUGGGUAAUUGGUUUUGUAGUUUUGCUUUUGUUUUCUUAAUCAAUGGUUCUUAGUUGUAACUUGCAAUAAAUUGACAAACAAAUACUACUAUAGUGCAGGAUCUCUUAAAGCAAUAGUUUGGUCUAUUAAUUCAAUCUGCAUCCAAGCUAUAUGUUGUGUUCCAUAUCCAUCUUUUUUUUUUUUUUUUACAAAAUAGUUUACAUACUGAAUUCGAUUUAUGUUAGAUUUUUGACUUACUUGAUGUCAAGCGCAAUGGGGUUAUUGAGUUUGGAGAAUUUGUUCAAUCAUUAGGUAUCUAUCACCCCAAUGCACCUGUUCGAAACAAUUGCAUCUGUGUUUAGACGGUAUGAUAUGAGAUAAACAGGGUUCAUUGAAUGAGAUAAGGUUUGUUUCACAUUGAAACAUCCUUGAUCCCACAGUCUACAAGGGAAGCCAGCAUUGAACCAGCAACAUCCUCCGUAGAGACCAUCAACUAGGAGAAAAACGAGUGAGGUGUCAUGACACUUUUGUGCGGACAGAAUUGGAGGAAGCAACUUUUUGGACAACUUCCAUAACUCCCCACCACUAGGCUAACAGCUUUUCAGCAUACACAUGCUAAUAGACAUCAUCACCUAUUUUUGGCAAGCUGGUCAAGCAGUGAUUGUAACUAAGUUAGUCUGCAACUAGAACAACCUAUUUUUUGAACACUGCCACAACAUCUACGUUAGUGGAGAAAACUAUUUUUUGCAAGCUGUUCUAGCAGCAACUGUAACUAUGUUAGCCUUAAACUAUGACAACCUUUUUUUUGAACACUAC